GACGAACGCUGGCGGCGUGCUUAACACAUGCAAGUCGAACGCUGAAGCCUAGCUUGCUGGGUGGAUGAGUGGCGAACGGGUGAGUAACACGUGAGUAACCUGCCCUCUUCUUUGGGAUAACGCCCGGAAACGGGUGCUAAUACUGGAUAUUCACUGAUUCUCGCAUGGGGGUUGGUGGAAAGGUUUUUUCUGGUGGGGGAUGGGCUCGCGGCCUAUCAGCUUGUUGGUGGGGUGAUGGCCUACCAAGGCUUUGACGGGUAGCCGGCCUGAGAGGGUGACCGGUCACAUUGGGACUGAGAUACGGCCCAGACUCCUACGGGAGGCAGCAGUGGGGAAUAUUGCACAAUGGGCGAAAGCCUGAUGCAGCGACGCCGCGUGAGGGAUGGAGGCCUUCGGGUUGUAAACCUCUUUCGCUCAUGGUCAAGCCGCAACUUAGGGUUGUGGUGAGGGUAGUGGGUAAAGAAGCGCCGGCUAACUACGUGCCAGCAGCCGCGGUAAUACGUAGGGCGCGAGCGUUGUCCGGAAUUAUUGGGCGUAAAGGGCUUGUAGGCGGUUGGUCGCGUCUGCCGUGAAAUCCUCUGGCUUAACUGGGGGCGUGCGGUGGGUACGGGCUGACUUGAGUGCGGUAGGGGAGACUGGAACUCCUGGUGUAGCGGUGGAAUGCGCAGAUAUCAGGAAGAACACCGGUGGCGAAGGCGGGUCUCUGGGCCGUUACUGACGCUGAGGAGCGAAAGCGUGGGGAGCGAACAGG
rnacentral:rRNA from 1 species